GGGGGAAGAAGAAAGAAUUCAGACCUAGACGGGUCAUUCUCGACCCGAAUGGAGUGGACGGGUCAACCCGACUGGUUCUCCGUUUUCCGACGACGGCGAGGAGAAAGAAUGGUAGCGGCAGCUUCCUCUCGUUCUCGUGGUCAUGCCCAAGCCCUUGAUUUUCAGAUAAGAUGUCUGGAGUGAGAGAUUCGAAGUGGAGAAGGAGAGGCUGGGUUGCCGGCGAGUCUCCGAUUCCGGCAGCGUCGACGCCUCUCACUGGUAUGGAUAGCUUCAUCUCCUCAUCCUCGACGUUCCUGUAUCUUCAGCUUGUCGAGACGAGGUCAGGUGAGGGAGAAUCUAAGAGGAGGAGUUUCUAAGUUUUCCGGUCGUGUUCUUCGUUUUCCGGUGGCGAUUGGUUUCGAUCAAGGCAAUGGAGGACCAUCGUCUGUGGCCACUGUUCACGGCGGCGGCGGUAGUUGUAGGAGUUGAUUUUUGGCUUUAGUUAGUAUAUUGAAUAGAUAUAUGUGAUUGUAGAUGCUUGAAUUCAAGAUUGGAGGAAUCGUUGAUUUUGAGUCUCUGCUCAUUUCGGGUUUACUGUUUGUGUUGGUGAUUUCUGUGUUCUUGUUCCAUUUCCAAUCAUAUGAAAGUGCAAGAACAUGAAUUGGUGUUGUUAAUGCUAGUGAUUAGUUGUUGGUUAAUAUUGAAGUGAAGGAAGACUGCACAGAUUGUUAUUGUUAUUGUUUGAUGAUUUGGGGUUUUGAAUGAGUAUUGAGAUUGAAAAGAGUUUCUUUAUGAUGGAGCUUAUUUGCUGAAGUUGAGUUGAGGCUGCAAAAUGGUUGAGCUGAUGUUGGUGUUGUUACAUGUUUGCUUUAAAGUCGAGGAAGAUUGGAUGUUAGAUUAUAGGAAAGUAGGAGAAGAUCAUUUGUUUCAAGUUUGGGUGUAGAGAGUAAUUUCGGAUACUAUGAUUAAAUUCCAUUUGAAGUUGAAUUGGUGUUUGGAGUGGAAUUGGGUCAUGGUAGCUCAUUCGACUUUAAAGGGGUUGGAGAAAGCGAGUAAAUGCAAGAGUUGGACAGUUUGAGAAAAGUAUGUAGAAAACGGCAAAAGAGGAUUUGGGUGUCCUUAGUAGUUUUGAGGACAUGGUCGUAUCAAUUUGAAGUGGAUAUUGGAGUGUUAUGUAUGGAUAUGGGAUUGCAUUUAGUUGAAUGGGUGUCCAUAGUAUAUCUAAUGGGUGUUCUUAGUAAAUCUAGUUAGAAUGUUUAGUAAACUUGGGACUUUAUAUUAUUCUCCUGGAACUUUAUAUUAGAAUGAUAAUAAAUUGGUAUAGUUUUGAUG